AUUGAACGCUGGCGGCAGGCCUAACACAUGCAAGUCGAACGAGUGGCGGACGGGUGAGUAAUGUCUGGGAAUCUGCCUUAUGGAGGGGGAUAACUACGGGAAACUGUAGCUAAUACCGCAUACCAUCGGAUGAGCCCAUAUGGGAUUAGCUAGUUGGUGAGGUAAAGGCUCACCUAGGCGACGAUCUCUAGCUGGUCUGAGAGGAUGACCAGCCACACUGGGACUGAGACACGGCCCAGACUCCUACGGGAGGCAGCAGUAGGGAAUAUUGCGCAAUGGGGGCAAGCCUGACGGAGCAAUGCCGCGUGAAUGAAGAAGGUUUUCGGGUUGUAAAGUUCUUUUGGUAGAGAGGCGUUAUCUACAGAGGAAGCACCGGCUAACUACGUGCCAGCAGCCGCGGUAAUAC
rnacentral:rRNA from 1 species